AUUUCUUGAACUCCGCUGCCCUUGAUUCCCAGGGCGCGGCGUUUCCUGUCUACAGCGGGGAGGCUGGCUGGGCGGCCCCGCCACCUGCUGCCCAGGCUCCUCCCCCUUUGCUGGGGCUGCUGUGGGAUCCAAGACCCUGGAGAUAAGCUGAGGCUUCAAGCCAGGUAUCUACACCCCUCCUCCCCAAACCCAAGCCGUGACUUCUUCUUUCGAUAACCCUGGGGUCACUGUGGCUGGAGUCUUGCAAGGCUGGAACAGGACAGCAGGGCAGGCUGUUUUGUAAGUGUUUCUUAGUCUGUCCAAGUUCGUGCUUCUUUUAAAAGACCUUUCAGUUGUUUUUGCUCCCCUCCUCUUUUCAUUAACUUGAAAAUAGCGAUCUGUAUUUUGCCAAGAGUGACAAAAAUCCCCCACCCCGUGGAUCUCUUCUCAACUCAUCUCUUAGUAAGCACAGUUCUGAGUGGGUUUCUCGGCUGGCCCAGACUGGAUCUGCUCCAAUGCUUGAGAGCACUCACAGCCCUUGAGAAAGAAGAUUUGGAACUUGUAGCCUUGAUUUGGAAACCACCCUGUCUCUGCUUCUGUUGUAUUUUGGAGCAGAAGGUGAGAGAUGCUUGUGAUGGGUGUGUGUGGUGGUGGUGGUAUAUAGUGGUGGUGCCUGUGUGUGUGUGGUGUGUGUGUGUGUGUUGUCUAGCCAAGGGCACAUCUAUUGUUUUGUCAGGUGGUGAAAUAGAAUGGCAACUGUCAUGAUUAAAAGGGGCUUGUGGGAGUUCCCACUGUGGCUCAGUGGAUUAAGAAUCUGACUGCAGUGGCCUGGCUCAUUGCAGAGGCCUGGGUUCCAUCCCUGGCCCAGUGCCUUGGGUUAAAGGAUCUGGCAUGGCCACAGCUGCAGCGUAGGUCACAGCUGUGGCUCAGAUUCAGUCCCUAGCCCAGGAAUUUCCAUAUGCUGUGGGUGUGGCCAUAAAAAAAAUUGAUUAAAGACCAGCAGACCCCUGCCUCACCAUGUUCAUUGAACGCAAACCCAAACCCCUUGAUGUGCUAUGAAACAUAGCCGUGGUGAUCCAGCUCCCAGCUCCCUCUCUACUUCCUCUCCUGCUCACACUUCUGUCCUUAAUAAUCAGCCAAGUUGCUUGAAAUUCUUACCUUUAAAUAUACUAUGCACAGGUCUCUAGAAAUUCUGGUUAAAAGGAGUAAGUACCGUGGGACCGGGUUCUCAUUAACCUCUUAGUGCCCAUCUUAGCAAGAAUUGCUGCAUCACAUGGCCUCACUGAGAGCCUGGAGUCUCGAGUGGAGAUAGAGUGGGAUCUCAGAGAAGCAAGUUUCAGUGGAAAGGCAGGAGAAGCCAAGGACCCGAUGGCACGGAGUCUAGGGAAGGGGGCAGGGCAGAGUGGCCCUGCAGGCAGCCGUAGGAACCAAGGGAGAGUGAGAACCUGAGGGCGGAUGUGUGCCUUUUCUGCCCUGCCAUGCAAGGGUAUUUCUGGGAUGGGGUAUUUGGGCUGCCCUCCCAGUCUCCCGAGAGCAGCGCGGAGAAGGCUUCUCCCACCUGGGGCCGCUGCCCAAGGGCUGCUGCCUGUUGAUAAAGCACAAAACCGUGGAAGUAAAACCUCCUGGCCCCAGGGGCAGCCUGGGCUCAUUGCAAGGCAUCCCCAUGGAAUGGCAGGACGUGUACUGGGGCUCGUAGUCAAGACACUCAGCUCCAGGCCCAGCAAUACCAUGCCCCCAACUGAGAGAUCUCGGACCUACCUCAGUUUCCUCCUCUGUCAGACUGUUACGGAAUUAAGUUAUGUGGACUCUGCUUGUGCCCUGACCCCUGGCCCAACCGAGGCUCUCUGCCCCUGGGCGGGGGGGAGGGCUGUUUUUCCUUUCAGGUUCAAGCAGCCAAAUGAUGUAACUGAAGCUGAGAUAUAAAGGUACAGGCUUUAUUCAGUGGCCAGAGAAUGGAGAAGUGGGAGCAAAGUUCACAGAUCAACUUCUUGCCCAGGUGGCCAGAGGGACUUAAUCUUACAGAGUAAAGGCAAAGAGGGGAGCCCUGAGGCUAAUGGUGGGGGGAGCAGGUGCACUAGUCUCCCAGGAAGGGCCCGGGCUUUCCCCUUCCGGCCAGGGAGUCCCGUGCCACCCCUCUUAAUCCUUGUCCUAACAUCUGGUCUUGGCCACCAGCAGGUGUGUCACUUACUAUGCUAAUGGAGGAAAUCGGCAUAUUGUAUAAUGAGACUCAGUUUCAUUUAUUUUUUAUUACUCAAUGAAUUUAUUACAUUUAUAGUUGUACAAUGAUCAUCGCAAUCCAGUUUUAUAGUGUUUCCAUCCCACACCUCCAGCGCAUCCCCCACCCCGCAAGCUCUCUGCUUUGGAAACCAUAAGUUUCUCAAAGCCUGUGAGUCAGUAUCUGUUCUGCAAAGAAGUUCAUUGUGUCUUUUUUCAGAUUCCACAUGUCAGUGAGAGCAUUUGAUGUUGGUGUCUCAUUGUCGGACUGACUUCAGUUUCAUGUAAAUUUAUCGCCAUCUGGGUUUUUUUUUUUUUUUUUGUAGCUUCCGUUUCCUUCUGUCUCGCCCGCAGUGUGGCCACUGCCCACUGACUUUUUCUAAACUGCAGAUUUCAUCAUGUGCUUCUCUUCCUCACCAGCCUUAGUGAUUACCUCUUUAUUCCUCUUCGGGUAAAAAUCCAAACUCCUGAGCACGUCCUGAAAUACACUGGCCCGUGACCUGCCCCUGGGUUCCUCUCUUGAUUCAUUCCCUGCCCAGCUUCCCUGCCCCACGUUAUGCUCCGCCUCAGACCACGUUCCAGUACUCAGAGUACUGCAGAAGGGCCAGGCUUUCUCUUGGAUCCCUUGAGCGCUCUGCUCCCUGCCUGGCAUUCCUUUAGCCCCUUCUCUCCCUGCCCAGCCCCAGCCCCGCCUCAGGCCUGAGAUCCAGGUUCUUCCGCAGGGAGCCUCCCGGUCCAUCUGAGCUAGAAUGUGCCACCUCCUCCCGUGGCAUCUAGCGUACCGGUGAUGGCCGUCCCCUCUUCCCCUCCAUACGCCUCAGCCACCCCUGUCCCCCCGCCCCCCGUCCUCUCAGUGCCUGGCAUGGGGCUGAGCCCUCUACCAGCACUUGCUGAGUGAAUGAUGGACUGAGUCUCUGUCACCCCCUGGAGCACUUGUGAGAAUUAAAUGACAUGUGAAAAGACUUGGCAAACUGUAAACAUGUUAGGGAUGUUUUGGAGAAUCACAAGAUUUCGGGAGGAAAUGAACAAGCUAGGUGGGCCCCCUGGACAUGAAACAAGAAAGAUGCUGAGCCGCGAUGCCCUUAGGAGCCAGGAGAGUACAGGGCAGCUCUGAGUACACGCCUAGGACUGCUAGUGACAGGAAAUGACCUGGAGAAACUUCGCUCUGGGUCUCAUGGGCUCAGGGAGGGUCGUUCCUGUCCAGUUCUGCUUCUUCCCAUCACACCAUCAAUCAUUCCAUCAGGCGCUCGGGCAGUGAACAGACACAUUUAGAGCUUGAAACCAGAGCUUCCUUCCUAGGAGUUCCCGUCGUGGCACAGUGGUUAACGAAUCCGACUAGGAACCAUGAGGUUCGGGUUCGAUCCCUGCCUUGCUCAGUGGGUUAACGAUCCGGCAUUGCCGUGAGCUGUGGUGUAGGUUGCAGACGUGGCUCAGAUCCCACGCUGCUGUGGCUCUGGCAUAGGCCAGCGGCAGCAGCUCCGACAGGACCCCUAGCCUGGGAACCUCCAUAUGCCAUGGGAAGCGGCCCUAGAAAAGGCAAAAAG
rnacentral:lncRNA from 1 species